rnacentral:piRNA from 1 species
GAGGUGGAUCGGGAAAUGGAACAUCCCGCA